AGAACGAACGCUGGCGGCAUGCCUAACACAUGCAAGUCGCACGAGAACGGGUUCUUCGGAACCCUAGUAAAGUGGCGCACGGGUGAGUAACACGUAGGAAACCUGCCCUAAAGAUCGGGACAACCUGCCGAAAGGCGGGCUAAUACCGUAUAAGACCACGGGAUCUUCGGAUUCUGAGGUCAAAGAUGCCCUCUCCUUGGAAGGUAUCGCUUUUGGAGGGUCCUGCGGCCCAUCAGCUAGUUGGUAAGGUAACGGCUUACCAAGGCUAAGACGGGUAUCUGGUCUGAGAGGACGACCAGACACACUGGAACUGAAACACGGUCCAGACUUCUACGGAAGGCAGCGGUGGGGAAUAUUGGACAAUGGGGGCAACCCUGAUCCAGCAAUGCCGCGUGAGUGAUGAAGGUUUUCGGAUCGUAAAGCUCUGUCAGCGGGGACGAAACUUUGGAAUUCAAAUAGGAUUUCAAACUGACGGUACCCGCAGAGGAAGCACCGGCUAACUCCGUGCCAGCAGCCGCGGUAAAACGGAGGGUGCAAGCGUUGUUCGGAGUUACUGGGCGUAAAGCGCGUGCAGGUGGUCUUUUAAGUCUUGUGUGAAAGCCCUCGGCUCAACCGAGGAAUUGCGCAGGAAACUGAAGGACUUUGAGUCCGGGAGAAGAGGGCGGAAUUCCCAGUGUAGAGGUGAAAUUCGUAGAUAUUGGGAAGAACAUCGGCGGCGAAAGCGGCUCUCUAGACCGGCACUGACACUCAUACGCGGAAGCGUGGGUAGCAAACAGGAUUAGAUACCCUGGUAGUCCACGCCGUAAACGAUGGAUGCUAGAUGUUCGGGGAGUUGACCCCUCGAGUGUCGACGCUAACGCAUUAAGCAUCCCGCCUGGGGAGUACGGUCGCAAGACUAAAACUCAAAGGAAUUGACGGGGGCCCGCACAAGCGGUGGAGCAUGUGGUUCAAUUCGACGCAACGCGAAGAACCUUACCUGGGCUUGACAUCUAGAGAAUCCCGCCGAAAGGCGGGAGUGCUCUUCGGAGAGCUCUAAGACAGGUGCUGCAUGGCUGUCGUCAGCUCGUGUCGUGAGAUGUUGGGUUAAGUCCCGCAACGAGCGCAACCCCUACCUUCAGUUGCCAGCAUUAAGUUGGGCACUCUGGAGGGACUGCCGGCGUUAAGCCGGAGGAAGGCGGGGAUGACGUCAAGUCCUCAUGGCCUUUAUGCCCAGGGCAACACACGUGCUACAAUGGGUGCUACAAAGAGUCGCCAACCCGCGAGGGGGAGCUAAUCUCUUAAAAACACUCUCAGUUCGGAUUGCAGUCUGCAACUCGACUGCAUGAAGCUGGAAUCGCUAGUAAUCGCGGAUCAGAACGCCGCGGUGAAUACGUUCCCGGGCCUUGUACACACCGCCCGUCACACCACGAAAGUGAGUUACACCAGAAGCCGGUAUACGAACCCGCAAGGGGCGAAGCCGUUCAAGGUAUGAUUCAUGAUUGGGGUG
rnacentral:rRNA from 1 species